UACAGAGGGUGCGAGCGUUAAUCGGAAUUACUGGGCGUAAAGCGUGCGUAGACGGCUAUCUAAGUCGGGUGUGAAAGCCCCGGGCUCAACCUGGGAAUUGCAUUCGAGACUGAAUAGCUAGGGUACGGUAGAGGGAAGUGGAAUUUCCGGUGUAGCGGUGAAAUGCGUAGAUAUCGGAAGGAACAUCAGUGGCGAAAGCGACUUCCUGGAC
rnacentral:rRNA from 1 species